rnacentral:rRNA from 1 species
UACGGAGGAUCCGAGCGUUAUCCGGAUUUAUUGGGUUUAAAGGGUGCGUAGGCGGGACUGUAAGUCAGGGGUGAAAUACUGCAGCUUAACUGUAGCAUUGCCUUUGAAACUGCCGUUCUUGAGUACAGUUGAGGUAGGCGGAAUGUGGUGUGUAGCGGUGAAAUGCAUAGAUAUACCACAGAACGCCGAUUGCGAAGGCAGCUUACUAAGCUGUUACUGACGCUGAGGCACGAAAGCGUGGGGAUCAAACAGGAUUAGAUACCCCU